rnacentral:rRNA from 1 species
UACGUAGGGGGCAAGCGUUGUCCGGAAUCAUUGGGCGUAAAGAGCGCGUAGGCGGUCCGGUAAGUCCGCUGUGAAAGUCAAGGGCUCAACCCUUGAAUGCCGGUGGAUACUGUCGGGCUAGAGUCCGGAAGAGGCGAGUGGAAUUCCUGGUGUAGCGGUGAAAUGCGCAGAUAUCAGGAGGAACACCGGUGGCGAAGGCGGGUCUCUGGGCCGAAAUUGACGCUGAGGAGCGAAAGCGUGGGGAGCAAACAGG